rnacentral:rRNA from 1 species
AGAGUUUGAUCCUGGCUCAGGAUUAACGCUGGCGGCGUGCCUAAUACAUGCAAGUCGAACGGAAGUACCUUCGGGUACUUUAGUGGCGAACGGGUGAGUAAUACAUAGGUAACCUACCCUUAAGACGAGGAUAGCCAUUGGAAACGAUGGAUAAAACUGGAUAGGAUAUAGAGGAAGAAUCUUUUAUAUUUAAAAGAGAGAUCUGCUUAAGGAGGGGCCUGUGGCGCAUUAGCUAGUUGGUGGGGUAAGGGCCUACCAAGGCGAUGAUGCGUAGCCGGACUGAGAGGUUGAACGGCCACAAUGGAACUGAGAACGGUCCAUACUCCUACGGGAGGCAGCAGUAGGGAAUUUUCGGCAAUGGGGGGAACCCUGACCGAGCAACGCCGCGUGAACGAAGAAGUUAUUCGUAAUGUAAAGUUCUUUUAUCAGGGAAGAAAGAGGAAUUUGACGGUACCCGAGGAAUAAGCUCCGGCUAACUACGUG